AACGCACAUUGCGCCUUCUGGUAUUCCGGUAGGCAUGCCUGUUUGAGCGUCAGCAAAACACCCUCAGCUGAAUUUUUGUUAUUCAAGCUGGUCUUGGGUAGCGGAUGCCGGUGGGAGAUACUUCCUGCCUGCGCCCUCCCUAAACUUGCUGCACGACCGCAAGCCCCUUCUAGCUAGGUCAAUGGAGUGGUGUUACAAUCUUCCAAAAAGCCUGCUGGUAACCGCUCUGCGGCGUUAAACCUAAACGUCUCCUCUAGUGGGGGACCGAAGUUUUGACCUCAGAUCAGACAAGGAUACCCGCUGAACUUAA
rnacentral:misc_RNA from 1 species